rnacentral:rRNA from 1 species
GAUGAACGCUGGCGGCGUGCCUAAUACAUGCAAGUCGAGCGAACGGACGAGAAGCUUGCUUUUCUGAUGUUAGCGGCGGACGGGUGAGUAACACGUGGAUAACCUACCUAUAAGACUGGGGUAACUUCGGGGAACCGGAGCUAAUACCGGCUAAUAUUUUGAACCGCAUGGUUCAAAAGUGAAAGACGGUCUUGCUGUCACUUAUAGAUGGAUCCGCGCUGCAUUAGCUAGUUGGUAAGGUAACGGCGUACCAAGGCAACGAUGCAUAGCCGACCUGAGAGGGUGAUCGGCCACACUGGAACUGAGACACGGUCCAGACUCCUACGGGAGGCAGCAGUAGGGAAUCUUCCGCAAUGGGCGAAAGCCUGACGGAGCAACGCCGCGUGAGUGAUGAAGGUCCUCGGAUCGUAAAGCUCUGUUAUUAGGGAAGAACAUAUGUGUAAGUAACUGUGCACAUCUUGACGGUACCUAAUGAGAAAGCCACGGCUAACUACGUG